rnacentral:rRNA from 1 species
GACGAAGGAUGCAAGCGUUAUCCGGAUUCACUGGGUUUAAAGGGUGCGUAGGCGGGUUGGUAAGUCAGUGGUGAAAUCUCCAGGCUUAACUUGGAAACUGCCAUUGAUACUAUCAAUCUUGAAUACCGUGGAGGUCAGCGGAAUAUGUCAUGUAGCGGUGAAAUGCUUAGAUAUGACAUAGAACACCAAUUGCGAAGGCAGCUGGCUACACGAAUAUUGACACUGAUGCACGAAAGCGUGGGGAUCAAACAGG